rnacentral:rRNA from 1 species
UGAAUACGAGACGCUAAGGCGUUGAAGUAGUGUAUGUCAUACUUCCAAGAAAAGCUUGCACUGUCAUAGAUAAAAAACGCCUGUACCAUAACCGACACAGGUGGGUAGGUAGAGUAUACUAAGGGGCGCGAGAUAACUCUCUCUAAGGAACUCGGCAAAAUAAUUCCGUAACUUCGGGAGAAGGAGUGCCUUAUUUAUAAGGCUGCAAUAACAAGAUCCAAGCAACUGUUUAUCAAAAACACAGGUCUCCGCUAAGUCGUAAGACGAUGUAUGGGGGCUGACGCCUGCCCAGUGCCAGAAGGUUAAAGAAGUUGGUUAGCAAUAGCGAAGCUGAUAACUGAAGCCCUGGUGAACGGCGGCCGUAACAAUAACGGUCCUAAGGUAGCGAAAUUCCUUGUCGGGUAAGUUCCGACCCGCACGAAAGGCGUAAUGAUUUGGAUACUGUCUCGGAGAGGGGCUCGGUGAAAUAGACUUGUCUGUGAAGAUGCGGACUACCUGCACCAGGACAGAAAGACCCUAUGAAGCUUUACUGUAACUUGAAAUUGAAAUUGGACUUUAUUCGCGCAGUAUAGGUGGGAGGCGUUGAUUGUAAUCUUGCGGGAUUAUUGGAGCCAUCAGUGAGAUACCACCCUUGUAAUGUUAGAUUUCUAACUUUGAAUCAUUAUCUGGUCAAAGAACAGUUUCAGGCGGGCAGUUUGACUGGGGCGGUCGCCUCCUAAACGGUAACGGAGGCGUACAAAGGUCUCCUCUGAACGGUUAGAAAUCGUAUCUAGAGUGUAAAGGCAUAAGGAAGCUUGACUGUGAGACCUACAAGUCGAGCAGGGACGAAAGUCGGUCUUAGUGAUCUGACGGUACUGAGUGGAAAGGCCGUCACUCAACGGAUAAAAGUUACUCUAGGAUAACAGGCUGAUCUCCCCCAAGAGUUCACAUCGACGGGGAGGUUUGGCACCUCGAUGUCGGCUCAUCGCAUCCUGGGGCGGUAGUACGUCCCAAGGGUUGGGCUGUUCGCCCAUGAAAGCGGUACGCGAGCUGGGUUCAGAACGUCGUGAGACAGUUCGGUCCAUAUCCGGUGUAGGCGUUAGAAUAUUGAGAGGAGCCUUCUUUAGUACGAGAGGACCGAGAAGGACAUACCUCUGGUGUACCAGUUAUCGUGCCAACGGUAAACGCUGGGUAGCUAUGUAUGGAGUGGAUAACCGCUGAAAGCAUCUAAGUGGGAAGCCCACCUCAAGAUAAGUA